rnacentral:rRNA from 1 species
UUUGGAGGUUGCGGUCUUGAACUGUGGCGUCCGGAGCUAACGCGUUAAAUCGACCGCCUGGGGAGUACGGCCGCAAGGUUAAAACUCAAAUGAAUUGACGGGGGCCCGCACAAGCGGUGGAGCAUGUGGUUUAAUUCGAUGCAACGCGAAGAACCUUACCUACUCUUGACAUCCACGGAAUUGUGCAGAGAUGCGCAAGUGCCUUCGGGAACCGUGAGACAGGUGCUGCAUGGCUGUCGUCAGCUCGUGUUGUGAAAUGUUGGGUUAAGUCCCGCAACGAGCGCAACCCUUGUCCUUUGUUGCCAGCGCGUAGAGGCGGGAACUCAAAGGAGACUGCCGGUGAUAAACCGGAGGAAGGUGGGGACGACGUCAAGUCAUCAUGGCCCUUACGAGUAGGGCUACACACGUGCUACAAUGGCGUAUACAAAGGGAUGCGAACCUGCGAGGGAAAGCGGAACUCAGAAAGUACGUCGUAGUCCGGAUUGGAGUCUGCAACUCGACUCCAUGAAGUCGGAAUCGCUAGUAAUCGUAGAUCAGAAUGCUACGGUGAAUACGUUCCCGGGCCUUGUACACACCGCCCGUCACACCAUGGGAGUGGGUUGCAAAAGAAGUAGGUAGCCUAACCGCAAGGAGGGCGCUUACCACUUUGUGAUUCAUGACUGGGGUGAAGUCGUAACAAGGUAACCGUAGGGGAACCUGC